CAGAAACCAAAGAAGCAGAAACCUGACUCCAUUUCAACUGUUGUCACACCAACUGUUGCCAUGCCAAUUUCUACUGCUGAUCCAAAACCCAAUUUGUCAUCUUCCUCAUUCCGUGGAGAUAGUUGGUCUCCUUUGCCAUCAGAUUCGAGGAAUAAGCCAACUGAUAUUAAUGUGUCUUUGCCAGCAGGUUAAAUUGGUUCACUUUACGGGUGGAUUAAUCUGUUCAUCACUGACGACGAGGCUCC
rnacentral:misc_RNA from 1 species